UACAUACUGUGCGAACGUUAUUCGGAUUCACUGGGCUUAAAGGGUGCGUAGGCGGCUUGUUAAGUAGGAUGUGAAAGCCCCCAGCUCAACUGGGGAACUGCAUUCUAUACUGGCGAGCUGGAGUGAGAUAGGGGUGUGUGGAACUGCCAGUGGAGCGGUGAAAUGUGUUGAUAUUGGCAGGAACGCCGGUGGCGAAAGCGACACACUGGGUCUCAACUGACGCUGAGGCACGAAAGCCAGGGGAGCGAACGGG
rnacentral:rRNA from 1 species